AAUGAGCUGAGAUUGCAGCACUGCACUCCAGCCUGGGCGAUCAAGCGAGACUCCAUCUCAAAAAAAAAAAAAAAAUUAGCUGGGCAUGGUGGCAGGCACCUGUAGUCCCAGCUACUUGGGAGGCUGAGGCAGGAGAAUGGCAUGAACUCAGGAGGCAAAGCUUGCAGUGAGCAGAGAUUGUGCCACUGCACUCCAGCCUGGGCAACAGAGCGAGACUCGGUCUCAAAAAAAAAAGAAAAGAAAAGGAGGGUUACAGAUCAUUGCACAUGGAAAAUAUUUCCAGCAGUAAACACUCCCAUUAAUGUGAUCUACAGCUUUUAAAAAGGAGCAUCUCAGAAUAAGAUGGUGGUACAAUUUGCUUAUUGAGAAAGGAAAAAAAAAAACACACGAGUAUAUUACAAGGGGAAAAGAAGGAAUGUGAUUUCUCAUGAUUGAAAGCUUGAUUUAGAUUGCAUACAGCUUUUGCUACCCAAGACCAAGCAGCUCUGGCAAGACAGGGUGGUUUUCCAAAUGCCAGACCGAGGUGCCUUAUGAAGGCAGCUGCCGAUGGUUCCAGAUGUAGAGAGAUAGUAUGAAAUAGCAGGAAGAGGAAGCAGGCUAAAGGGACACAGAGUGAUUGGGGGCUAUUUUAAGUAGAAUGAUAAGGAAGAGCCUGUCUAGAGAGCUAUUUGAACAGUGACCUGACUGAAGGGACAACAGAAAGCAGUGCUGACAUUACAGGUAGCAGGAUGACUGCCAAGACAGAAACGCAUUUCAUAUGUGUUUGAGGAACAAGCAGCAAGGUGACCAGCAUGGGGAGAGUGGAGAAUGAGGGAAACCUUGAAUGAGAAUAAAGCAAUUCCAUCUUGGAGGCUAAUCUGCCAUAUUCUGAUUAAUCCCAGUUCCAAGAAUUCAUCUACGAUUUCUAUUUUAUCUUUUUAAAAAAUUAUUUUUUAUUUUUUAUUUUUUGAGACUGAGUCUCACUCUGUCUCCCAGGUUGGACUGCAGUGGCACAAUCUCAGCUCACUGCAAACUUCACCUCCUGGGUUCAAGCGAUUCUCCUGCCUCAGCUUCCCGAGUAACUGGGAUUACAGGCGCCUGCCACCACGCCUGGCUAAUUUUUGUAUUUUUAGUAGAGACGAGGUUUUACCGUGUUGGCCAGGCUGGUCUGGAACUCCUGACCUCAGGUGAUCCGCCCACCUUGGCCUCCCAAAGAGCUGGGAUUGCAGGCGUGAGCCACCGUGUCUGGCCAUACACAUCCCUGCCGAAGCCCGCAUUACCCUUCCCCUAUGCUAUAGAAGCCCUGGGUCGGGGGGGUGGGGGUAAUGGCACAGGGAUCCACCAUC
rnacentral:lncRNA from 1 species